UUUUUUUUUCUUUUUUUUUUUUUUUUUUGAGACCUCACUCUGUUGCCCAGGCUGGAGUACAGUGACGUGAUCUCGGCUCACUGCAACCUUUGCCUCCUGGGUUCAAAAGAUUCUCCUGCUUCGGCCUCCUAAGUAGCUAGAAUUACAGGCGCAUGUUACCAUUCCUGGCCAUAUUUUGUAUUUUUGUAAUUUUUAGUAGUAAUUUUGUAUUUUUAGUAGUAAUUAUGUAUUUUUAGUAGUAAUUUUGUAUUUUUGUAAUUUUUGUAUUUUUGUCUUUUAGUAGUAAUUUUGUAUUUUUGUAAUUUUAGGGUUUUGUCAUGUUGGCCAGGCUAGUAUCAAACUCCUGACCUCAAGUGAUUCACCUGCCUCAGCCUCCCAAAGUGUUGGGAUUGCAGGCAUGAGCCACAGCACCUGGCCAGGGUAUUUCUAUUUUAAAGUAAAAAUUAGGUUGGUGGCCAAAGUAGUGGGAAUUCUUUCUGAUGCAAUGCCCAGCUGACUUAAAAAAUAACCUCCUUCAAAAAGGGUAGAAAAUGUGCAGCAAUGAUGGGCAGCAUCAUUACAGUCAGACCGUAAACUUCGAAGGCGCCUCUUGAGACAGACAACACGUUAGAGUGUAAAAGUGCCACCCUAUAUAAUGGCUACACUUAUUUACGGUAUACAGAGUCAACACAAUGAUCACUACAAUUCGAACUCCUGGUAUAAAUUUAAAUUCUGGACCCAAUAUAAAAAAAUGUGCAAUACAAAAAGAAAUACCUUGCCUCUGCUCUCCCUUUUAAAAACUUAUAUUUCUUUGAAGAAUUUUUUUAAACUGUUCAUUAAUUUACAUUUACUGGCCCUUUAAGAAAAUCUGGGAUUUGCUGAGAUUCUUGAACCUCCCAGACUUCAGAAUGUUCAGAAAAGGGAGACUACUUUAAUCUUCUCCUUCUGUUCUCACAUCUAAUAAGCCACUGUUUUUUAAAUUAACUCCCUUGCCCCAUAAAUAUUUCAAAUGUAGCUUCUCUUCCUUAUCCCCAUGGCCAUUGUCUCAGUCCCAGCCUUCAUAAUCCCCCACCUAACUCAGCAUUUAAUUUCCCAGCUGCUUUCACUGCUUCUCCUCUCCUCCUUUCCCUAAUCCAUUCCAAACAGCCACCAGAGUGAUCUCUCCAAAAGGAAAAUGGAAUGAUUUUCCUCCUUUCCUUAAAACUCCCCCAAAGUUUCCCUUAACAUCUGAAAUCCUUCCAUUUGAGGAGAACUUCCAAAUGAGAUCCCGCUUGCCUGCUCAGCCUCCUGCUCCUGUUCCCAAUCUGCAUUCGUGGUUCCACUAACAGGAGUUCCUUGGUACCUCUCUGGCGCCCGAGGCCAGCAUCUAAUCUAUUAGCAAAUCCUUUCCCAUGGCCUUUAGAGUACACCCUCGCUGUAUCCACUUCUCAUCACCUCCACUGCUAAUUCUCUCACCUAACACCAUUAUCUCUAGCAUCUGUGAAGACCACGGGCACCUCUUCACAGGUCUUUCUGCUGCCUCUUUUGCCCCUUAAAGUCCAGGCUUCCC
rnacentral:lncRNA from 1 species